GUUUAUUAAAAAAUGGAAAAAACAAUUACCUGGAGUUUAUUAUUUGUAGUUGCUAUUCAUGGAGUCUGGAGUGAGAUCAAACUGGACCAGUCUCCCUCUGAGGUGAAAAGACCUGGAGAGACAGUGAAGAUGUCCUGUAUCACGUCUGGUUAUACCAUGACAAGCAAUGCUAUUAACUGGAUACGACAGAGACCAGGAGAAGCUCUGGAGUGGAUCGGGAGGAUAAACACAAAUACAAACACUCCGAGCUAUGCCAGCUCCUUUCAAAGCCGUUUCAGUUUUACUCAAGAUGUGCCCAGCAGCACUCAGUACCUCGAGGUCAAGAGCCUGACAGCACAAGAUUCUGCUGUUUACUUCUGUGCUCGACACACAGUGACUGAAGACAGUGGAGCAGCUGCACUAAAACCUCCACAGACAACAAACUGCAGUGAUCUUAAUAACAUCUGGGUUCUCUCACCACCUGCUAAAACACGCUGA